rnacentral:rRNA from 1 species
CCUACGGGUGGCAGCAGUGAGGAAUAUUGGUCAAUGGCCGGAAGGCUGAACCAGCCAUGCCGCGUGAAGGUCAGUGCCCUAUGGGUUGUAAACCUCUUUUGUCGGAGAACAAAACCCGGGACGUGUCCCGGACUGCGUGUAUCCGAAGAAAAAGCAUCGGCUAACUCCGUGCCAGCGGCCGCGGUAAUCCGGAGGAUGCGAGCGUUAUCCGGAGUUAUUGGUUUUAAGGGUGCGUAGGCGGUCCGUUAAGUCAGCGGUAAAAUUGCGGGGCUCAACCCCGUCGAGCCGUUGAAACUGGCAGACUUGAGUUGGCGAGAAGUACGCGGAAUGCGGGGUGUAGCGGUGAAAUGCAUAGAUAUCGCGCAGAACUCCGAUUGCGAAGGCAGCGUACCGGCGCCAGACUGACGCUGAGGCACGAAAGCGUGGGGAUCGAACAGGAUUAGAUACCCGUGUAGUC